UCCCUGGUGGUCUAGUUGUUAGGAUUUGGCAUUUUCACUGCUGCAGCCCAGGUUCAACCCCUGGUUUGGGAA
rnacentral:tRNA from 1 species